rnacentral:tRNA from 1 species
GUCUGGCUGGCUCAGUUGGUUAAGCGUCUAACUUCAGCUCAGGUCAUGAUCUCACGGCUUGUGGGUUUGAGCCCCGCGUCAGGCU